CUCUCUCUCUCUCUCUCUCUCUCUCUCUCUCUCUCAAAUCGACCUAUCUGUGCUGCUCUCUCUCAAGCUCAAGCUCAAACCAGAUUUCAAUAGGGAUGGAGUAUUUCCAGAAUGUGGGUUCAACAGUUGAUACAUUUCAUGGUGCUGUUUGUGUAUGAAUGAUCUAUGCUUCAUACUUUGGGUUGUGUAUGCAUGCGCACGGAUAUAUGUUCCAUGUCUAUAAAUUAAACUUAUUUCUUUUGGUAAAAUACACCAAAUUAAACUUUA